GGCAAAUGGAUGGAACUAGAAGAAACCAUCCUGAGUGAGGUAACCAAGACACAGAAGAAAAACAUGGUCAACAAUAAAUGUAUAGUUUCCUGAUGAGAAGGCAACAGUUGAAGGUCAUAGGUCUGCAUCUAUUUCCUAUUGAACAGCUUUGCUGGUCACAAAAGCACAGACCUCAGUUCUAUUGUUCUCAUCAUAACUCAAGUCACCACUUUCUCUUCAAAAGAUGUAAACCCAAGACUAUGGUGUUCUCCCCCAAACUCUGAACUUCACCAAGAAAUCAACUUUUGGGUUUUUGUUCCUUUGUUUUUUUCCUGGAUACUGGUUCUGAGUAUUCAGCUACGACAGGGAUUCACAAACAUCAUGGAUGGUUUUGUGGAAGACAGAGUAUAUCUGUAAUGUAUUCCUUAUAUUUCAGCCUUUAGCUGAAAUUAAGAUAUCUGUAAUACUCAGAGAAGUCCAUAGCAUGCCUCCUUCCUGCCCAAUAUAAGCAACCCCCCCCAUGAUGUAUUUAUAAUACACAAACUGGAGAGUUAGACCCCAUUGCUCUGAUAUAUUGAGAAGCAAGGUUUGUUUAUGAUACGAUAUUCCUGUUUAAGAUUUAAUAAAGACCACUAUCUGUUUUGUAUUGUCA
rnacentral:lncRNA from 1 species